AUUCCAGCUCCAAUAGCGUAUGUUAAAGUUGUUGCGGCUAAAAAGCUCGUAGUUGGAUUUCUGUUGAGGACGGCUGGUCCGCUCUAUGAGCGUGCAUCUAGUUUGGCCUCGGCAUCCGCUCUGCAUACGUUCUGCGCUUGAUUGCGUGGUUCGGAGGUAGGGCCUUUUACUUUGAGGAAAUUAGAGUGUUCACGGCAGGCAAUCGCCUUGAAUAUAUUAGCAUGGAAUAAUAACAUAGGAUCUUGGUUCUAUUUUGUUGGUUUCUAGAGCUGAGAUAAUGAUUAAUAGGGACAAUUGGGGGCAUUCGUAUUGCGGUGUCAGAGGUGGAAUUCUUGGAUUACUGCACGACGAACUACUGCGAAAGCAUUUGCCAAGGAUGUUUUCAUUA
rnacentral:rRNA from 1 species